rnacentral:sRNA from 1 species
GCUGGGCAUAGUGGUGCACGCCUGUAAUCCCAGUUGCUCAGGAGGCUGAGGCAGGAGAAUUGCAAGUUCAAAGCCAGCCUCAACAAUUUAGUAAGGUCCUAAGCAACUUUGUGAGACUCUGUCUCAA